UACAGGUGACUCUAUGUUAAACACAGGGAGUUCUUACAGAGAUCUGUCUGGGAUGUCCUUCAGUACCCCAGACAGAGACAAUGACGGGUGGAGUGAUAACUGUGCUGCUAACAGUGGCGUUAGAGGAGGCAGGUGGUUUAACAACUGCCACUACGCCUUCCUUAACGGUCAAUGGUCCCCGGGAGACUGGUUCUACCCAUGGCAUCCUACAGUAACGAGUGGGACGUCAGUAAAGGGGACCACCAUGAUGGUCAGACGGCACUAGACGAAAGAUCAUCCAUCAAUUAGACGAAUCCAUUUUGAUCCAAGAGACGGUUUUAAAUUUAACAUUCAUCACGGGGUUCUUUAUUUUGUAAGACUGUUUAACAUCAAGUGACUAAACAAAUAUGUUUUCAGGGGAUAAAGGAUUAUGUAAAGCAAUAAAUUAUUGUAAUUUUGUUCUACUGAAUAUAUUCUGUAAAAGAUGUACUUUAUAUGUGUUGUAAUAAAUUUGAAAUUAGAAA